rnacentral:pre_miRNA from 1 species
ACAACAUUCGGACGGUCGGUCUACCGAGCAAUAUCAGCCGCUCGGUGGAAGAUCUUCCCUAUGUCGU